CCUACGGGAGGCAGCAGUGGGGAAUAUUGGGCAAUGGGCGCAAGCCUGACCCAGCAACGCCGCAUGAAGGAAGAAGGCUUUCGGGUUGUAAACUUCUUUUCUCAGGGACGAAGCAAGUGACGGUACCUGAGGAAUAAGCCACGGCUAACUACGGGCCAGCAGCAGCGGCAAUACGUAGGUGGCAAGCGUUAUCCGGAUUUACUGGGUGUAAAGGGCGUGUAGGCGGGGACGCAAGUCAGAUGUGAAAACCACGGGCUCAACCUGUGGCCUGCAUUUGAAACUGUGUUUCUUGAGUACUGGAGAGGCAGACGGAAUUCGUAGUGUAGCGGUGAAAUGCGUAGAUAUUAGGAGGAACACCAGUGGCGAAGGCGGUCUGCUGGACAGCAACUGACGCUGAGGCGCGAAAGCGUGGGGAGCAAACAGGAUUAGAUACCCGGGUAGUC
rnacentral:rRNA from 1 species